rnacentral:sRNA from 1 species
UGGACAGGCGUGGAGACCAAAGUCCACUCUGUAUCCACAGACCAGGUAGUACACGGGCAGCAGCAACGAAGGCCUCCCCUACUCGCUACCUCCUGGCUUUACAGGUGGGGAAACUGAGGCAUAGAACUCCUGUAGGGACAAGAGGGGAGCUCAGUCUCCAUGGUUCAUCCGAUCCCUGGCUAAG